rnacentral:lncRNA from 1 species
UUUAGGAUUUAGAAUUUGAUUAAGGUUUACUUUAGGAUAUAAGAUUUAUUUAAAAUUUGAUUAAGAUUGGUUUAGGAUUUAGAAUUUGAUUAAGAUUUACUUUAGGAUAUAGGAUUUGUUUAAAAUUUGAUUAGGAUUAGUUUAGGAUUUUAUUAGAAUUUAUUUAGAUUUACAUUAGAAUUUUAUUAGGAUUCAUUUAGGAAUUUUUUAUUUUUUUUAUUUCUUUAAGAUUUCUUUAAUAUUUUUUAGGAUAUAUAUUUUUUUUUUAGGAUUUGUUUAUUAUAUAUAUUUCUUUAAGGUUAAUCUAUGAUUUUUUAAUAUUUUUUUGUAAUUUCUUUAAGACUUCUUUUGUAUUUAAUUAAAGAUUGAUUAUCAUUGUUGAUAUUUAAUUAGAAUUUAUUUAGAAUUCUAUUAGAAUUUUUAGGACUUUAUUUUUGCAAAUUCCAUUUUACCUUCUAUAGCCAAGUACAUGGUGCAUUCUUAAAUAAACUUCACAAAUCACAACAAUAU